rnacentral:lncRNA from 1 species
UCUAUUCCAAAUGUUCAACCGAAAAUCUUUACUACAUUAAUUUCUCAACAUGCAUUCUCAUAUUCACAAUCGUAACAAUUUAUGCAAUAUUAAUUCAAUCAUACAUCAUAACAAUAUAAUUGCAUUAUUGACAUACAACUUAGCUCAGUUUACAAAAGUAGACAGCUAGUUUAAAUUACUCUAUUAAUAUGGUCUUACCCCGG